rnacentral:snRNA from 1 species
GCAUUUCUUUAGAUAUCACAUGUACUAAAUUGGAAUGCUACAGAGAUUCACAUGCUCCUGAACAAGGAUAAAAUACAAAUUUGAGGAGUGUUACAUAUUUUU